rnacentral:lncRNA from 1 species
CCCCAGCCUCGCUGCCGCCUUGUAGUUUGAUCUCAGACUGCUGUGCUAGCAAUCAGCGAGACUCCGUGGGCGUAGGACCCUCCUAGCCAGAUACAAAAAGAAAAAUUACUGUCAUGUGAUGUGUGAUCCAUGAUACCGUCAUAGUUUUGUUAUGAGAAAACUGAGGCUCUGAGAGAUGACAUCAUAAAGCCUUGUAAGACCCAGAUCAGAAGAACCUCAUGUGAGAAGUGUUCUCUCUUAUCUAAAGAAAAGAAGCAUCUUUGUCUCCAAAGAUGAAGAAACACAGAGAAGAAUCUGAACGAACAAGCUUGCUAAGUUUCCCCCCGUUUAUUACCAUUAGAUCACACCCUUUUGCCCUAUCAUAUUUCUCCAUAAUGGCCUACUCUUCAUCAAACCUACUAUAAAAUACUCAGAUUUACCCAUUUUGGGGGGUCUUCCUUUCCUUAUGAAGGCUCUCAUGUCAGGUAAAACUCAUAUUAAGUAUUUGCAUACUUUUAUUUUGUAAAUCUUUGGUUAUUGGGGCCUCAGCCAUGAAUCUAAGAUAGGUAAAGGAAAAGAUAUUUUUCUUCCCCUAUAUUAGAUUGCUACAUUUUUUUCCCUGAUGACUGAGAGAUAAAUUGAUCAUCUGUAGUCAGAUAAAGUCUGGUGUUAAUGGCACCUCUUUCUAGACAACUCCUCAAACAACUUCUAAAUAACUUCUCGAGUGAUGAUGUUUCUGUCCUUCUUACUAAAAAAAUACCUCGUCCUGCUUAACAUAUGCUUUGCUAAUUUUGUGUUUCUAACCCCAUCACAUUGUGUGGCAUCCUUAACAAAAUCAGUAUAUUUCACUUACUUUUGUGACUGAUACAUGAAGCACAGGGAUCAUACUUGAAGUAACAAAGCUCUGAAGCCUCAUUUCAAUACUACUUAGUUGGUUACCUGUGUAGUCAGUUGAACAUCCAACCCAUAUGUCCUGUGAGAGAAGGAAUCAUAUUUGUCUGGUCCAGAGAUGGUUCCCCAUUACCAAGCAUAUGACUCAAACGUAAUUUGCCAUCACUACACAUGCAAAUACACACACAUGUAAGCUCACGCACACACACACACACACACACAUUGUUGGAGGGGUGAAAAUGGAUAAGUCAAUCAGCAUGUAAUGUUGAUCUUUUCUCCUACAGAUAGCUUACUGAAAUUUAAGUAGACAUAAUUGGAGGGUACUCUCGUGUUUAUUGAAUAUUGUAUAGACUCCAUUCUUCCUUGAUGUAUUUUCAAACAAGGUUCUCUGUAGUUAUUUUCUCUUCUGUCAAAAGAUAGGGAUAGUGCUGGUGCCAGGUUCUCGACACUGAAAAGGGCCUAAUGGUUUGGGUUACAGCUUGGAGUUCUUUUAGGUGGGUAUUCAAUUGGCAGUAUAAUUCUUGCUGGAAGAGCAGAUUUUCUGAGUUUGAAUCCUGGCUCCACUGCUUUCUAGAUUUUUGGACUUCAGCAAAGUUACUUAACUUCUCUGUGCUUCAGUUUUUAUUUGUAGAAUAAAGAUGAUAAUUGUGCCUAUCUUACAUAUAUUGUGAAAUACUUUAAAUUGUUCCUGGCACACCGAGUGCUCAAUUAAUUUUAGUAAUUGUUAUUAUUAUUUUAUUUUCCCAAGAUUCUUAGCUUAUUGCCAAAUAUAAUACGUGCUUAAAAUUGAAAUGAACAAAUGAAUGAGUGUGUGGUGAAUAUUUUCUUCUGCUUAGAAAAGAUAUCCGUGAGAUUUUUUUUUUUACUGCUGCUAGAAUAGAAGUGUAUGGAGAAAUGAUAUAUGUCCAUCCAGCUUUCAUGACCCUUACUCAAUGGAAGACGGAAAUGAGAGCGACAUAAGCAGCCUUUUGCUUUCUAAAAUUGGUUAUUUUACUACAAUUCAUUAAUUGCUUUCAUGCUGCCACAUUUAUCUAUCAUUAAAUUGCAGAAAAUAUAUUAUUUUUACACUUAUUGAAUGAAGAAAGUGAGAAUUUGCCUGCAAGGAGUAGAUGGGAGUGGAUGCAAAUGUUUAUUUUAUUAAAAUAAUUAAAACAUGUAGAAGAAAUAAUACUAACAAUAUCAAGGAUAAUAACAAUAGGCAUUUAUUGAGUGUUGUGUGUUCAAUUAAUUUAUAAUUAAUUCAUAUAUACCAUCUCAUUUAAUAUUUACAAGACCUCUAUGAAGUAGGAGUUAAUAUUACCACAUUAUGAUGAAACUAAUAUUUGAGAAAGUUAGGUACCUCCAUCAGUGUCACACAUUAAAAGAGGUGUUUGGAACUGGCUAAUCUAAUUUCAUAACAUGAAAGUGUAAAAUACUGUCUUAGUUUGGAAAAAACAAUGGUCAAUUAGCAGUGUGCUGUUAAACCAGCUCUCUGAAAACAAAAGCAAAAGUUUUGAUUUGUAGCAUAUGCUGAUUUCCAAGUUGGAAAUGCUCCCACCAUAGCCAUGGUCAACUUCGAGACGACAGUGUGAUAUCUGCUGGCUCCCAGAAUUCAUGAACCUUAACAAUCAGCUCUGGCCGCUUCAGCCCAGCACUGGUGGAGAUAACUAGCCCAUCAGUGUGGCUCAGGGGCUUGCCAACGAUGUGCAGCAGUGGCGGUGGCAUGGAUCGGCAAAAAGUUAUGAUGAUGCACAAUAGGGACAACAUUUCACUGCGGGCACAUGAAAGAAAAGAAAAAGUACCUGGACAACUCAAAAGAAUGAUUAUGGUUUGGGCGGAAAAAAAUUGAAUUUAAGCUCAUUUGGCAGAGAAGACCAGGAGCCAGAUGCUGAAAGUGAUUUGAACUUGGUCUAGGGAUUUAUGACAUUUAAAAACAAACCCAAAACCUUCCUUAUUAAGAUAGGAAUUUGGUGGCAGAAACACUUAUUUACCUUAACUGAGAGAGGAAAUAGGCAAAACUAUAGCCACAUUUUCUGUUUCUGUGAAUUCAUAGGAACUUCCCCACAGAAAGAUGUCUGAGCUUUGCUGGAAGGUGAAUUCAACUUUGAAAAUAAAAAGAGAAAUUCAUUGCUCAUUUAGCUGCCUUAAAUCAUCUCUAGGAUAAGAUAUUAUAUAUGUAUAUGCAUGCAUAAAACAUACAUAUGUAUAUGUAGAGAGACAUAUAUAUGCAAUACAUGUACAUACAUAAUUCAUUCAUCUAUGAGAUAUUAGACGAAGCACCAUUUGGUACCCUGAAGUAUCCAGCUUUACAUUUUCCAAAUCUCUACUAGCCCACUCUUUCUAAUGUUCACCUUCUGGAACCAUGCAGGUUGCAAAGUGAAUGGAAAUUAGCUGUCUAUGGGUGUUCAUCAGACACUGAAGAAUACAGUUGGGUUGCAGCAGCUGUUAUUUUCUGGCAGAAACCAAAUCAUUUGGAAUGCUGCAGAAUGAGAAGCUUCCUGUCAACUGGUGGCACUUACCACAAGGGAGCAGAGGCCUUUUUACGCCUGCUCUUAAUCUGCAAUUCUAGAAAUUCACUCAUUUUUCUUACUCAGCAAUGUCUACUUUUCUCAUUAACAAGAAAAAUCUAUGAACAGAUUGACUGUGUUGUUCCUGCAGUGUCUGGAGAGACACAUGUUUGCAUAUGGGGGUGAGAUGGGUAGAAUUGGCUCCUUUUUAAGAUUUUCCUGUAGUCUUCUGUUUAACCUGAAAUAAGCACAUGGUAGUAGAAAUGUACAGAAAAGAUUAUUAGUCUAUGCUACACGAACAAGAUUCCAUUAUUUCAGAGUAAAUUAAAGGUAGCCAGAAACGCUGUCAGACUUUGGCAUGAUGAAAGGCAAGUGAAAGUUAAAGGAAAGACACAAUAGUUUCAAUUACUUUGAAUCUCAUAAUGUCAAAGUUAUGAUACCCUUUGUUGCUUAACAAGUAGAAUUGGUUUUAAGCCCUUUAUACUCAAGUUCUUCUUGAUGAAACAAAAAUAUGAGAAAUUGCUUCUUCAUGGGACAUAGAAGGCUUUGUAAAAUACAGUGUAGUUUUCUGUAGUUUUAUAUGAGGUUCUGCUUUCUACUAUUUUACAG